GACAAUUUGGCCGAGUGGUUAAGGCGAUUGACUCGAAUCAGCUUGACUCGUCAUCAAUUGGGAUUUCCCGCGCAGGUUCAAAUCCUGCAGUUGUCG
rfam:Puccinia graminis f. sp. tritici CRL 75-36-700-3 supercont2.9 genomic scaffold, whole genome shotgun sequence.